AACGCUUCUACUAGCAUUUUGUUUCGUUCGUUAUUUUUUUCACGUCUACACUGUGCACGAGUUUCAUCACCGUCAUCAUCAGUGCGGAAAGGAGGGGCACUGCAGACAGAACUUCUGAGCUCCAUUAGAGAGGACCAGACGGAUCUCCAAGCCCUGGAACUGGGAAUUCAAACUGUCCCGCGCAGGGGAAGGGACAAAUCGCUCUCAGGAAACAAAAGAUCUUUCGAGACAGACCGGAUCACUGACUCUUCGUUUAGGUGACUCACAGGAUGGUGUCCAAGAGGAGACAGAAAUACUCUGACAGUUGAAGACACAGGCCUCUGUAACCCAUAUUCAUGGAUCUGUUGCUCCUUGGUCUCGAUGAGAUAGGGGCACUGGGAAACAAACAGCACCCCAGUGCCUUUGAGCAGGAGAAUAAAAUGCCCCAAAGGAAA